GGUGGCUCAGUGAUAGAGCACUUGCCUUGCAUGCAUAAGGCCCUGGGUUCGAUUCCUCAGCACCA
rfam:Dipodomys ordii contig_29499, whole genome shotgun sequence.